rnacentral:rRNA from 1 species
UACAGAGGGUGCUAGCGUUGUUCGGAAUCAUUGGGCGUAAAGGGCGUGUAGGCGGUUUGUUAAGUCAUGUGUGAAAUCCCUCGGCUCAACCGGGGAACGACGCAUGAAACUGGCAAGCUAGAGUACCAAAGAGGGGGGUGGAAUUCCCGGUGUAGCGGUGAAAUGCGUAGAUAUCGGGAAGAACACCCGUGGCGAAGGCGGCUCUCUGGGACGGUACUGACGCUGAGACGCGAAAGCGUGGGGAGCGAACAGG